rnacentral:tRNA from 1 species
UUGUUAAUAGUAUAAAUAUAUACAUUUGAUUGUAAAUCAAGCCAUGGAAAAAACAUCCUUAACAAA